UGGGGAAUUUUGGACAAUGGGCGAAAGCCUGAUCCAGCCAUGCCGCGUGAGUGAAGAAGGCCUUCGGGUUGUAAAGCUCUUUUAGUCGGGAAGAAAAGAUCAUAAUGAACAAUUAUGAUUCAUGACGGUACCGACAGAAAAAGCACCGGCUAACUACGUGCCAGCAGCCGCGGUAAUACGUAGGGUGCGAGCGUUAAUCGGAAUUACUGGGCGUAAAGGGUGCGCAGGCGGUUUUGUAAGUCAGAUGUGAAAUCCCCGGGCUUAACCUGGGAAUUGCGUUUGAAACUGCAAGACUAGAGUGCAGCAGAGGGGAGUGGAAUUCCAUGUGUAGCAGUGAAAUGCGUAGAGAUGUGGAAGAACACCGAUGGCGAAGGCAGCUCCCUGGGUUGACACUGACGCUCAUGCACGAAAGCGUGGGGAGCAAACA
rnacentral:rRNA from 1 species